rnacentral:rRNA from 1 species
GUUGUAUGGUCAAGUAACUAAGCGCACACGACGGAUGCCUUGGCUGGCAGAGGCGAUGAAGGACGUUGUAGCCUGCGAAAAGCCUGGGGGAGUUGGCAAACAAGCUUUGAUCCCAGGAUGUCCGAAUGGGGAAACCCACCUGUAAAGGUAUCGUUAACUGAAUACAUAGGUUAACGAGGCGAACCCGGGGAACUGAAACAUCUAAGUACCCGGAGGAAAAGAAAUCAACCGAGAUUCCCUAAGUAGCGGCGAGCGAAAGGGGACUAGCCCUUAAGCUUCUUUUGAUUUAGCGGAACGUUCUGGAAAGGACGGCCAUAGUGGGUGAUAGCCCCGUACGCGAAAGGUCAAUUGAAGUGAAAUCGAGUAGGUCGGGACACGUGAUAUCCUGAUUGAAUAUGGGGGGACCAUCCUCCAAGGCUAAAUACUCCUGCCAGACCGAUAGUGAACCAGUACCGUGAGGGAAAGGCGAAAAGAACCCCGGAGAGGGGAGUGAAAUAGAACCUGAAAUCGUGUGCGUACAAGCAGUCGGAGCCCUACGGGGUGACGGCGUACCUUUUGUAUAAUGGGUCAGCGACUUAAUGUGUGUAGCAAGGUUAACCAGAUAGGGGAGCCGUAGGGAAACCGAGUUUUAACCGGCGUUAGUUGCACGCAUUAGACCCGAAACCGGGCGAUCUAUCCAUGACCAGGUUGAAGGUUAGGUAACACUGACUGGAGGACCGAACCCACUGUCGUUGAAAAGCCAGGGGAUGAGUUGUGGAUCGGAGUGAAAGGCUAAUCAAGCCCGGAGAUAGCUGGUUCUCCUCGAAAACUAUUUAGGUAGUGCCUCAUGUCUCACCACUGGGGGUAGAGCACUGUUUCGGCUAGGGGGUCAUCCCGACUUACCAACCCGAGGCAAACUCCGAAUACCAGUGAGUGCAAUCAUGGGAGACACACGGCGGGUGCUAACGUCCGUCGUGGAAAGGGAAACAACCCAGACCGUCAGCUAAGGUCCCAAAAUCUAUGUUAAGUGGGAAACGAUGUGGGAAGGCUCAGACAGCUAGGAGGUUGGCUUAGAAGCAGCCACCCUUUAAAGAAAGCGUAAUAGCUCACUAGUCGAGUCGGCCUGCGCGGAAGAUAUAACGGGGCUAAACAUAGUACCGAAGCUACGGAUGCCUUAGGGCAUGGUAGAGGAGCAUUCUGUAAGCCGCUGAAGGUGAAUUGUGAAGUUUGCUGGAGGUAUCAGAAGAGCGAAUGCUGACAUGAGUAACGAUAAUGGGGGUGAAAAACCUCCACGCCGAAAGACCAAGGGUUCCUGUCCAACGCUAAUCGGGGCAGGGUGAGUCGACCCCUAAGACGAGGGCGAAAGCCGUAGUCGAUGGGAAACGGGUAAAUAUUCCCGUACCGGCUGUUAUUGCGAUGGAGGGACGGAGAAGGCUAGGCAAUCAGGGCGACGGUAGUCCCUGUUCAAGCUAGUAGGCAGAGAUCUUAGGCAAAUCCGGGAUCUUAUAUGCCGAGAGGUGAUGACGAGUCUCUAAGGAGAUGAAGUUGUUGAUGCCAUGCUUCCAGGAAAAGCUUCUAAGCUUCAGAUAACAGACGAUCGUACCCGAAACCGACACAGGUGGUCUGGUAGAGAAUACCAAGGCGCUUGAGAGAACUUGGGUGAAGGAACUAGGCAAAAUGGUACCGUAACUUCGGGAGAAGGUACGCCGGCUUUGGUGAUGGGACUUGCUCCCUAAGCUGAGGCUGGUCGAAGUGACCAGGUGGCUGCGACUGUUUAUUAAAAACACAGCACUCUGCAAACACGAAAGUGGACGUAUAGGGUGUGACACCUGCCCGGUGCCGGAAGGUUAAUUGAUGGGGUUAGCGUAAGCGAAGCUCUUGAUCGAAGCCCCGGUAAACGGCGGCCGUAACUAUAACGGUCCUAAGGUAGCGAAAUUCCUUGUCGGGUAAGUUCCGACCUGCACGAAUGGUGUAACGAUGGCCACGCUGUCUCCACCCAAGACUCAGUGAAAUUGAAAUCGCAGUUAAGAUGCUGUGUAUCCGCGGCUAGACGGAAAGACCCCGUGAACCUUUACUACAGCUUUGCGCUGGACUCUGAAUUAAUCUGUGUAGGAUAGCUGGGAGGCUAUGAAACCGGGACGCCAGUCUCGGUGGAGCCAACCUUGAAAUAAAAGCAUGGUUAAUUUGGGGUUCUAACCUCGCACCGUUAUCCGGUGCAGGGACAGCGUAUGGUGGGUAGUUUGACUGGGGCGGUCUCCUCCCAAAGAGUAACGGAGGAGCGCGAAGGUACCCUCGGAACGGUCGGAAAUCGUUCCAUGAGCGCAAGGGUAGAAGGGUGCUUGACUGUGAGACUGACAAGUCGAACAGGUACGAAAGUAGGUCCUAGUGAUCCGGUGGUUCUGUAUGGAAGGGCCAUCGCUCAACGGAUAAAAGGUACUCCGGGGAUAACAGGCUGAUACCGCCCAAGAGUUCACAUCGACGGCGGUGUUUGGCACCUCGAUGUCGGCUCAUCACAUCCUGGGGCUGAAGCCGGUCCCAAGGGUAUGGCUGUUCGCCAUUUAAAGUGGUACGCGAGCUGGGUUUAGAACGUCGUGAGACAGUUCGGUCCCUAUCUGCCGUGGACGUUUUGAGAAUUGAGAAGAGCUGCUCCUAGUACGAGAGGACCGGAGUGGACGAACCUCUGGUGUUCCGGUUGUUUCGCCAGAAGCAUUGCCGGGUAGCUAAGUUCGGACGGGAUAACCGCUGAAAGCAUCUAAGCGGGAAGCCUCCUUCAAGAUGAGUUCUCACACCCCUUCGGGGGUCUAAAGGGCCGUUAUAGACUAUGACGUUGAUAGGCUGGGUGUGUAAGCGUUGUGAGGCGUUGAGCUAACCAGUACUAAUUGCCCGUGUGGCUUGACCAUACAACACCGAAGCAG